UACGGAGGGGGCUAGCGUUGUUCGGAAUUACUGGGCGUAAAGCGCACGCAGGCGGCUUUGUAAGUUAGAGGUGAAAGCCCGGGGCUCAACUCCGGAAUUGCCUUUAAGACUGCAUCGCUAGAAUUGUGGAGAGGUAAGUGGAAUUCCGAGUGUAGAGGUGAAAUUCGUAGAUAUUCGGAAGAACACCAGUGGCGAAGGCGACUUACUGGACACAUAUUGACGCUGAGGUGCGAAAGCGUGGGGAGCAAACAGG
rnacentral:rRNA from 1 species